UAGCAAACAGGAUUAGAUACCCUGGUAGUCCACGCCCUAAACGAUGCCAACUAGGUGUUGGGGAAGGAGACUUCCUUAGUACCGUAGCUAACGCGUGAAGUUGGCCGCCUGGGGAGUACGGUCGCAAGAUUAAAACUCAAAGGAAUUGACGGGGACCCGCGCAAGCGGUGGAUGAUGUGGAUUAAUUCGAUGCAACGCGAAAAACCUUACCUACCCUUGACAUGCCAGGAAUCCCGGAGAGAUUUGGGAGUGCCCGAAAGGGAGCCUGGACACAGGUGCUGCAUGGCUGUCGUCAGCUCGUGUCGUGAGAUGUUGGGUUAAGUCCCGCAACGAGCGCAACCCUUGUCAAUAGUUGCCAUCAUUUAGUUGGGCACUCUAUUGAGACUGCCGGUGACAAACCGGAGGAAGGUGGGGAUGACGUCAAGUCCUCAUGGCCCUUAUGGGUAGGGCUUCACACGUCAUACAAUGGUCGGUACAGAGGGUUGCCAAGCCGCGAGGUGGAGCCAAUCCCAGAAAGCCGAUCGUAGUCCGGAUCGGAGUCUGCAACUCGACUCCGUGAAGUCGGAAUCGCUAGUAAUCGUGGAUCAGCAUGCCACGGUGAAUACGUUCCCGGGUCUUGUACACACCGCCCGUCACACCAUGGGAGUGGGUUUCACCAGAAGUAGGUAGCCUAACCGCAAGGAGGGCGCUUACCACGGUGGGAUUCAUGACUGG
rnacentral:rRNA from 1 species